GUAGGUGGCAAGCGUUGUCCGGAAUUAUUGGGCGUAAAGCGCGCGCAGGCGGUUCUUUAAGUCUGAUGUGAAAGCCCACGGCUCAACCGUGGAGGGUCAUUGGAAACUGGAGAACUUGAGUACAGAAGAGGAAAGCGGAAUUCCACGUGUAGCGGUGAAAUGCGUAGAGAUGUGGAGGAACACCAGUGGCGAAGGCGGCUUUCUGGUCUGUAACUGACGCUGAGGCGCGAAAGCGUGGGGAGCAAACAGGAUUAGAUACCCUGGUAGUCCACGCCGUAAACGAUGAGUGCUAAGUGUUAGGGGGUUUCCGCCCCCCUUAGUGCUGCGGCUAACGCAUUAAGCACUCCGCCUGGGGAGUACGGCCGCAAGGCUG
rnacentral:rRNA from 1 species